rnacentral:rRNA from 1 species
UGCGAAUGGCUCAUUAAAUCAGUUAUCGUUUAUUUGAUAGUACCUUACUACUUGGAUAACCGUGGUAAUUCUAGAGCUAAUACAUGCUAAAAAUCCCGACCUCUGGAAGGGAUGUAUUUAUUAGAUAAAAAACCAAUGCCUUCGGGCUUCUUGGUGAUUCAUGAUAACUUUACGAAUCGCAUGGCCUUGUGCCGGCGAUGGUUCAUUCAAAUUUCUGCCCUAUCAACUUUCGAUGGUAGGAUAGUGGCCUACCAUGGUUUCAACGGGUAACGGGGAAUUAGGGUUCGAUUCCGGAGAGGGAGCCUGAGAAACGGCUACCACAUCCAAGGAAGGCAGCAGGCGCGCAAAUUACCCAAUCCCGACACGGGGAGGUAGUGACAAUAAAUACUGAUACAGGGCCCUUUCGGGUCUUGUAAUUGGAAUGAGUACAAUUUAAACCCUUUAACGAGGAACAAUUGGAGGGCAAGUCUGGUGCCAGCAGCCGCGGUAAUUCCAGCUCCAAUAGCGUAUAUUAAAGUUGUUGCAGUUAAAAAGCUCGUAGUUGAACUUUGGGUCUGGGUGACUGGUCUGCGUCUACCGCAUGUACUGGAAACCCGGAUCUUUCCUUCUGGAGAACCGCAUGCACUUUACUGGGUGUGCCGGGGAACCAGGACUUUUACUUUGAAAAAAUUAGAGUGUUCAAAGCAGGCAUUUGCUCGAAUACAUUAGCAUGGAAUAAUAAAAUAGGACGUGCGGUUCUAUUUUGUUGGUUUCUAGGACCGCCGUAAUGAUUAAUAGGGAUAGUCGGGGGCAUCCGUAUUCGAUUGUCAGAGGUGAAAUUCUUGGAUUUUUCGAAGACGAACUACUGCGAAAGCAUUUGCCAAGGAUGUUUUCAUUAAUCAGGAACGAAAGUUGAGGGAUCGAAGACGAUCAGAUACCGUCGUAGUCUCAACCAUAAACUAUGCCGACUAGGGAUUGGGCGACUGUGUUAUUUGAGUUGCUCAGCACCUUACGAGAAAUUAAAGUUUUUGGGUUCUGGGGGGAGUAUGGUCGCAAGGCUGAAACUUAAAGGAAUUGACGGAAGGGCACCACCAGGAGUGGAGCCUGCGGCUUAAUUUGACUCAACACGGGGAAACUCACCAGGUCCAGACACAUUAAGGAUUGACAGAUUGAGAGCUCUUUCUUGAUCAUGUGGGUGGUGGUGCAUGGCCGUUCUUAGUUGGUGGAGUGAUUUGUCUGCUUAAUUGCGAUAACGAACGAGACCUUAACCUGCUAAAUAGCUGGGCUCGCUUUCGCGGGUUCUUGG